CCAUUUUACACAUUUAUACAUUAUAGUUAUUUACUUUGUUGUCUAUAUCUUUUAUAUUUAUUCUUUGAUAUUUGUUUAACCACUUUUCAUUUUCUAUUUCUGUCAUUUUUUUAACAGCAUUUCAGUUGUUACAUUUUUGUUUAUUUUGUUUCACCUGUAUUUUUUCAUAACUGUACAUUCCAGAUUUAUUGAAAGAUAAGCAAUUUUUUUUUUAAAUUAUAUUAAUGUAAGAAUUAAUAUAACAAAAAAUGUAAAUAUUUAUAACUUUAUGUUUGGUUUAAAUUCAGUUUUCACUUUCAUAUUCAUAAGUUUUCAUUCAAAUAUUUAUUUACGUUAUCAGCAUUAGAAAUAUAUCUGUUGUACAUUGCAUCAUCCAAUGUGUUUACUGGCAAAACAUACUGACUGUUUGUUCCAAGUUGUUUUUAUAGAUAUAACUAUAAAAAAACUACAAGACUCUGAAUGUUUGAAAAACAAAAAGGUAUAAUAUUGGGAGUUACAAAACCAAAGAGAAAUGGAAGAUGAAGGGCACUUUAGCAGAGAUUGUUGAUUCAGAUGGGACAGUUUUAUCACGUUUAUAGAUUAAAAUUAGAAUAAUUAAAUGGCUUUAUGUGUUUGUGCUGGAUUUAUAAUGUUUUUGGAUUUUAAACUGAUUUCCCACUAAUUUGAAAUGGUUUUCCUUAAAUUCAAAAGUAUUUUUUUCUUUCUGGGGGACAGAAAUUAAUAAAGAGGUACUUCACCUUAUUGUUUUUGACUAGCAUUGCUUUAAACUUUGGUUCUAUAGUACACUGAACAACACUAUAAGAUAUCCAAAGAAACAUCUGAAAAUAAAAACAAUAUUAUUGCAGGAUGAUCUGAAUGUCAUAUACAGCUGUCUGAGUAUAAAUUCACAUACCAUGUUAAAAAGACAUGGAGUUUAUUGCAGCACCCAAUUUGUAAUAAAAGCACCUUUUUCAUUUACUUAAAAAGUAACAUGAGAAUAUAUUUUUCAAUUGAUUGUUGUUAUUGUGUGAAUGUUUAAAAUUGUUAACGGGUUAGUUGUCACUGUGUAUAGAUGUAAUUUGCAAAAUUGAAUCCUGUUAAAAUCUUUAAGAGAAUUUGUAUUCUCUUAUUAUCCAUAACUUGUGCCUUUUUAAUGAAAAUAAACAUAUUUUUG
rnacentral:lncRNA from 1 species